UCCAGGUAGAGGUCCUGGUCCUGGUAGAGUUCCUGGUCCUGGUAGAGGUCCUGGUCCAGGUAGAGGGUCUGGUCCAGGAAGAUGCCCUGGUCCAGGUAGAGGUCCUGAUCCAGGUAGAGGUCCAAAUAGUGGCCCUGGUCCUGGAAGAGGUCCAGGUAGAGG